AGUGAACGCUGGCGGUAGGCCUAACACAUGCAAGUCGAACGGCAGCACAGUAAGAGCUUGCUCUUACGGGUGGCGAGUGGCGGACGGGUGAGGAAUACAUCGGAAUCUACUUUUUCGUGAGGGAUAACGUAGGGAAACUUACGCUAAUACCGCAUACGACCUACGGGUGAAAGCAGGGGAUCUUCGGACCUUGCGCGAUUGAAUGAGCCGAUGUCGGAUUAGCUAGUUGGCGGGGUAAAGGCCCACCAAGGCGACGAUCCGUAGCUGGUCUGAGAGGAUGAUCAGCCACACUGGAACUGAGACACGGUCCAGACUCCUACGGGAGGCAGCAGUGGGGAAUAUUGGACAAUGGGCGCAAGCCUGAUCCAGCCGUACCGCGUGGGUGAAGAAGGCCUUCGGGUUGUAAAGCCCUUUUGUUGGGAAAGAAAAGCAGCAGGUUAAUACCCCGCUGUUCUGACGGUACCCAAAGAAUAAGCACCGGCUAACUUCGUG
rnacentral:rRNA from 1 species